rnacentral:rRNA from 1 species
UACGUAGGUGGCGAGCGUUGUCCGGAUUUACUGGGCGUAAAGGGAGCGUAGGCGGACUUUUAAGUGAGAUGUGAAAUACCCGGGCUCAACUUGGGUGCUGCAUUUCAAACUGGAAGUCUAGAGUGCAGGAGAGGAGAAUGGAAUUCCUAGUGUAGCGGUGAAAUGCGUAGAGAUUAGGAAGAACACCAGUGGCGAAGGCGAUUCUCUGGUCUGUAACUGACGCUGAGGCUCGAAAGCGUGGGGAGCAAACAGGAUUAGAUACCCU